UACGUAGGGGGCGAGCGUUGUCCGGAUUUAUUGGGCGUAAAGAGCGUGUAGGCGGCCAGGUAGGUCUGCUGUGAAAACUCGAGGCUCAACCUCGAGACGUCGGCGGAAACCAUCUGGCUAGAGUCCGGAAGAGGAGAGUGGAAUUCCUGGUGUAGCGGUGAAAUGCGCAGAUAUCAGGAGGAACACCUAUUGCGAAGGCAGCUCGCUGGGACGCAACUGACGCUGAGACGCGAAAGCGUGGGGAGCAAACAGG
rnacentral:rRNA from 1 species